rnacentral:rRNA from 1 species
UACGAAGGGUGCUAGCGUUGCUCGGAAUCACUGGGCGUAAAGCGCACGUAGGCGGACUCUUAAGUCGGUGGUGAAAUCCUGGAGCUCAACUCCAGAACUGCCUCCGAUACUGGGAGCCUUCGAGUCCGGGAGAGGUGAGUGGAACUGCGAGUGUAGAGGUGAAAUUCGUAGAUAUUCGCAAGAACACCAGUGGCGAAGGCGGCUCACUGGCCCGGUACUGACGCUGAGGUGCGAAAGCGUGGGGAGCAAACAGG